GACCUCAAAUCAGGUAGGGCUACCCGCUGAACUUAAGCAUAUCAAUAAGGGAGGAAAAGAAACUAACAAGGAUUCCCCUAGUAACGGCGAGCGAACCGGAUGAGCUCAAAUUUGAAAUCUGGCGCCCUCCGGGCGUCCGAGUUGUAACUAUAGAAGCGUUUUCCGUGCCGGACCGUGUCCAAGUCCCUUGGAACAGGUAUCAAAGAGGGUGACAAUCCCGUACUUGACACGACGACCGGUGCUCUUGAUACGCUCUCUACGAGUCGAGUUGUUUGGGAAUGCAGCUCAAAACGGUGGUAAAUUCCAUCUAAAGCUAAAUAUUGGCGAGAGACCGAUAGCGAACAGUACCGUGAGGGAAAGAUGAAAAGCACNNNNNNNNNNNNNNNNNNNNNNNNNNNNNGGAAAGAGAGUUAAACNGUAUGGAAAUUGUUGAAAGGGAAACGAUUGAAGUCAGUCGUGUCAUGAGGAUUCGCCGGCCCUGCCGGUGUACUUCCUCUUGACGGGUCAACAUCAGUUUUGACGGCGGAUAAGGGAGAUGGGAAUGUGGCACCUUCGGGUGUGUUAUAGCCGUCGCCGCAUACGUCGGACGAGACUGAGGCAUGCAGCUCGCCCUUCGGGCCGGGGUUCGCCCACGUCCGAGCUUAGGAUGUUGACGGAAUGGCUUUAACGACCCGUCUUGAAACACGGACCAAGGAGUCUAACAUAUCUGCGAGUGUUGGGUGUCAAACCCGGGCGCGCAAUGAAAGUAAACGUAGGAGGGAUCCGAAGGAGCACCUUCGACCGAUCUGGAUCUUCUGUGAUGGAUUUGAGUAAGGCAUAUAUGCUGGGACCCGAAAGAUGGUGAACUAUGCCUGAAUAGGGCGAGCCAGGGGAAACUCUGGUGGAGGCUCGUAGCGAUUCUGACGUGCAAAUGAUCGUCAAAUUUGGGUAUAGGGGCGAAAGACUAAUCGAACCAUC
rnacentral:rRNA from 1 species